UUUGCAUUAUUUUUUUUUUGAAAAUAAAUAUGCUAUGAUGCAAAUGAUGCAGACACGACUGGCUGGCUGUGUAUCUCGGAGCACAGGUUCAAAGCUUCGGCUUGAAUUCGAAACCACAAAUUCAUCUGGGACCCAAAGUCAUCUGAGAUCCACAAUUCUGACCCAAUAGUCACCAACAAGUCACCAACGGUACCUGUAAUAAUGAUCAUUCCCUCCCCACUCACGGGUGUAAUCUAG
rnacentral:lncRNA from 1 species